rnacentral:misc_RNA from 1 species
GGGGAAUUUUCCGCAAUGGGCGCAAGCCUGACGGAGCAAGACCGCGUGCGGGAGGACGGCUCUUGGGUUGUAAACCGCUUUUAUCAGGGAAGAAGAUCUGACGGUACCUGAUGAAUCAGCAUCGGCUAACUCCGUGCCAGCAGCCGCGGUAAUACGGAGGAUGCAAGCGUUAUCCGGAAUUAUUGGGCGUAAAGCGUCCGCAGGUGGUUGGACAAGUCUGCUGUCAAAGCAUGGAGCUUAACUCCAUACCGGCAGUGGAAACUGGACGACUGGAGUUCGGUAGGGGUCACGGGAAUUCCCAGUGUAGCGGUGAAAUGCGUAGAUAUUGGGAAGAACACCAGCGGCGAAAGCGCGUGACUGGACCUGAACUGACACUGAGGGACGAAAGCUAGGGGAGCGAAAGGGAUUAGAUACCCCUGUAGUCCUAGCCGUAAACGAUGGAAACUAGGUGUUGCCCGUAUCGACCCGGGCAGUGCCGUAGCUAACGCGUUAAGUUUCCCGCCUGGGGAGUACGCACGCAAGUGUGAAACUCAAAGGAAUUGACGGGGGCCCGCACAAGCGGUGGAGUAUGUGGUUUAAUUCGAUGCAACGCGAAGAACCUUACCAGGGCUUGACAUGUCGCGAAUUCCGGCGAAAGUUGGAAGUGCCUUCGGGAGCGCGAACACAGGUGGUGCAUGGCUGUCGUCAGCUCGUGUCGUGAGAUGUUGGGUUAAGUCCCGCAACGAGCGCAACCCUCGUUUUCAGUUGCCAGCAUUUAGUUGGGCACUCUGGAGAGACUGCCGGUGACAAACCGGAGGAAGGUGGGGAUGACGUCAAGUCAGCAUGCCCCUUACGCCCUGGGCUACACACGUACUACAAUGCUAGGGACAAAGAGUCGCCAGCCCGCGAGGGUGAGCAAAUCUCAUAAACCCUGGCUCAGUUCAGAUUGCAGGCUGCAACUCGCCUGCAUGAAGGCGGAAUCGCUAGUAAUCGCAGGUCAGCAUACUGCGGUGAAUACGUUCCCGGGCCUUGUACACACCGCCCGUCACACCAUGGGAGUUGGCCACGCCCGAAGUCGUUACUCCAACCGUUCGCGGAGGAGGACGCCGAAGGCAGGGCUGAUGACUGGGGUGAAGUCGUAACAAGGUAGCCGUACCGGAAGGUGUGGCUGGAUCACCUCCUUUAUAGGGAGACCACCCGACUUGAGCGCAAGCAGUAGAGAGAUUUAUUGCAGUUGCCUUAAGUUGGUCAUCCCAAGGUCGGUCGAGAGUGGUGUUGGCUUCCAAACUAUUGGUUCGGUUCAUGGGCUAUUAGCUCAGGUGGUUAGAGCGCACCCCUGAUAAGGGUGAGGUCCCUGGUUCGAGUCCAGGAUGGCCCACCUCGAAAGCGCGCUAUUGCGCUGGGUCAGGACGGGGGUUUAGCUCAGUUGGUAGAGCGCCUGCUUUGCAAGCAGGAUGUCAACGGUUCGAGUCCGUUAACCUCCAGCAUGAGUCUGAGCCAUGAGCUCAAACAAUUGAGAAUUUCAGCAUCUUAUCUGCUUGCGCCCUGCGAAAGUAGAGAGCCUGCUGGGAUAUAACCAGCUACGAACCUUGAAAACUGCAUAGUAAUUUGUCAGGUAGAAGCUGAGGCGGAAGCAAUCAGACAUCAAUUGAUGUUUUGACUUGUGUACCGGCUUCAGUGACACAGACACCAAUGUGACUUUAAGUGGUCAAGCGAAUAAGGGCUAACGGUGGAUACCUAGGCACACAGAG